AGAACAUGUGCACUUAACCACUGCGCAACCGGGCUGGUCCCUCAGGUCUUUUCUGAGCAUACAUUUUGCCUGCAUGUGCGUGGAGCUUACCAAGUUUCCUCCAUAUAUGGGGCUGCUUUUGAAUGUCCUAAUUUCCCUGCCUCACCUCAACUUUUCUUCUGGGCCUGAGAUAGUCUGUUGUAUGUGUCCGCCUGUAGUCUCUUGACCCAGAAGUCUGUGUCUGCACUCAUCUUGCAAGUUUUAUAAGUAGUGCCCACCACUUUCCCCACCUAAGUUCUGAGUUAGACAUAACAGACAAGCUCCUUGCAUCAGCCCUUCAGGUAUCCACCAGGCAGUUUAGAAAGAUGUAUACAAUAAUUUGCAAACAAAGUCUGCUUCUCCUAGUUCGAGGGAUGGUACUGGGAACCAGGCUGCCACCACUUCAAGACCAAAACCACUGCCACGCUGGGGUAGGGUAGAGUAAAGGUAUACUCUACUCCAGAUGGUAUGAAGAAAUUCCAAAUUAUAAAAGGGCUUUAGAAAACCAAAUUUCUUCUCUCAAUAUGAAAAGAAGCUCUGGAGCUGAUUUGAGUGUGACAUCAUUGGAGAAUGGCCAUUUACACCUUUCCAGCCAAAGACACCCGGGAUAAAGCCAAGACCUUGACCAUAUUGAGAAGUCAGAUCAGGGAGAUUUUCACCUUGCUACAGGAAAAGAAGGGCUGAUGAGCAGGAAGAGAAUAGAUCUAAUUUAGAGUCUUGAUUCUUUUAGAGGUUAAAAAGCAGACUUCAAACUUCUAUGUGGCCUUUCUUCCUAGUCAUCUUUGGAGAAUCUUCUUUGGGAUACAGUACACAAAGUGGGGAGCUGCCAGUGCUAGAAAGAUGGGUACCAGAAAGUAAGAGCUAAGAGUGGGAAACACAUUAUCACUGUAAUUGAGUUUAACCUCUCUCAGCCUGCCUCUUCCUCUACAAUGUGGAAACAGUAAUAUCUAUUGAAGAGAGUUGGAAUUCUUUUGAUUGGAAAUUACAAGAAGCCAUAUUGAAAUAGGUUAGGUAAAAAAAAAAAAAAA